rnacentral:rRNA from 1 species
CAAAGUGAAGAUGGCGACCGGCGCACGGGUGAGUAACACGUAUCCAACCUGCCGAUAACCCGGGGAUAGCCUUUCGAAAGAAAGAUUAAUACCCGAUGGUAUAAUAAAGCCGCAUGGUUUAAUUAUUAAAGAAUUUCGGUUAUCGAUGGGGAUGCGUUCCAUUAGGCAGUUGGUGAGGUAACGGCUCACCAAACCUUCGAUGGAUAGGGGUUCUGAGAGGAAGGUCCCCCACAUUGGAACUGAGACACGGUCCAA